rnacentral:rRNA from 1 species
AACGAACGCUGGCGGCAUGCCUAACACAUGCAAGUCGAACGAGACCUUCGGGUCUAGUGGCGCACGGGUGCGUAACGCGUGGGAACCUGCCCUUAGGUUCGGAAUAACUCCCCGAAAGGGGUGCUAAUACCGGAUAAUUUCUUCGGACCAAAGAUUUAUCGCCUUUGGAUGGGCCCGCGUUGGAUUAGCUAGUUGGUAGGGUAAAAGCCUACCAAGGCGACGAUCCAUAGCUGGUCUGAGAGGAUGAUCAGCCACACUGGGUCUGAGACACGGCCCAGACUCCUACGGGAGGCAGCAGUGGGGAAUAUUGGACAAUGGGCGAAAGCCUGAUCCAGCAAUGCCGCGUGAGUGAUGAAGGCCUUAGGGUUGUAAAGCUCUUUUACCCGGGAUGAUAAUGACAGUACCGGGAGAAUAAGCUCCGGCUAACUCCGUG